ACAAAAGUAAUUGUAUAUCAUGUUCAACGCGCACGACGACCGAUUAGCUGAAAAACCUGCAGGUAGUAAUCGACUUAAUAUUCCUGAUAAAGGUACGCUAACGGGCUAAGUGAUAAGGAUUAAGGCCCUAUGGCCUGUAACGCAAUUAUGGAAUGAAAAGAUUUCGGUAUGAAUUCGAUCUAAAAAUUGAGGACGGGAAGGCGUAUUAUGUUGGCCGAUUUACACGAUAAAAUGCAACGUCAGUACAUUUCCCACGCUGAACUU